AGCCCCAGCCCAAAACCAAAACCACAACAAAAAAAAAUACAGAGCUUUGUAAAUGCCAAAUUAGCAACAGUAACUAAAAUCGAGUUUGGCAAUGCAGAAGCCAAUGCUAAUGCCCGUAACAGGCCAAUAACUAAACAGAGUAUAACCCGCAAAACAGCCAACAGGGUUUAACGGGCGUUGGGUUUGGCCGAGUCGAUAUGAUGAUGCUUCAGUUUAUAAGCCGCAAAACGUGUUGGAUUUGUUUCAAUGGCGCUAAUUGCUUAAUUGAAACUGUUUUUCCAUUGCAUUUACUGUUAGCUAACACCCGCCGCGACAGCGCCCACCCAGCCCGCGCCUGUUCUACCUUUCAUAGCAAAAUGUCAAUUAGUAUUUGCCAGCUAAAAGCCAAAAAAUCGACAAUAGACCAAAUUAGCUCUUCGCUUGACACGCUCGCACACGCACACGCACACACAUAUCACACCACACCUUAACACACGCCUCGUUCCGCGUUCCAGCACAUGUCACGCUGUCGUAUACGUAAUAUACAUUUUGAUUAGCAUUCUGCAUACGCAACGUUCGACAUUUGAUAUUUGAAAUGCAUUGCGAAAAAUUGUUCCAUUUUAAUUGCAAAUUUGUAAAUUUACUGGAGUCCCGCAUAUCAUCAUAAUUGGCCAAGGGGCAGCUGCAACCGACGCUGCUGCUGCUGCAGCAUAUUUCAAUAAUUGAAGCGCGCUAUAUUUUUAAUUAGUUAAAUGCGCGUUUAAUUAGCUUUAUAAAUUAUGCACAUGCAGCGGUUAGUUGCAAGCUCUGCGUUUUUUCUUUCAUUUUUUUUUUUUUUUGGUUUGCCGCUGACUUUGGAGUUUAUUUUUGUAUAAUUUAUAAAUGUUUGUUCAACAGACAGUCGUGCUGGAAUGAUGGUCUUUCAGUUAUGAUUUAUUUAUGUAUUUUGGCAUUUUUUUUACCAUUCGAUUUGUUUGUUCGCCCGUUUAUUUGUUUGUCUUUUCGCUGUCGCCGGAAAUGAACUGCGAUUUUUAUUUAUUAAUCGCUGCAUGAUUUAUGGAUAAAUAAUUGUAAUGCCCUUUUACUACGUAGAUGAGCUGUCAGCAGCGGUUUAAAAUUACGUGCAGCACAGGAACCUCAGAAAAGAGAGCAAAAGUCUUUUUUGAAUUGCAGCAAAUAAAAUCAAUUAAUUGGCAGCUAAAAAAUUUAAUAUGUAAUUUGCUAAAUGGACAGAUUUUAUACUCCAAAACUAUAUUUGAGUUAUAAUUAAUUAUUAUUAAAAUUCUGCGAAUGAUAGUUUUUUACAUAAAGCAUACGCACCGUUACCAAUUCAAAUGCUUUGAAAAAGCGCAAAGUCGCGCGCCGAACAGUGUUGUAAAACGAUCAACAGCUAAGACGCUCUCACACAGCUGCCCAAGCGGCUCACAUUAAUAACGGCGCGAGAGAGCGCACAAAACAAAACAAAAUGCGACGCGCAAUUAGCGCACACACGCGCACGCACACAGAACUAAUAACAGACGCUACCAGAGAACAACAACAACAACAACAACAGCAAUGAACAAACACGUUCCACAGUUUGGCGGCGCCGCAUGUUAACGACCGCGCAAAGAAUGCAUCAGGCAGAACGUCGAGCAGAGCGCGCCGAAGAGCAGCGCGACUUGGCAGGCAAAUCAACUAUUUCUGCUUAGCAACGUUUUUUUAGCUUUUCGCUGAUUUUUGAUACCAAAAAGUAGAUUUCAUGCUAUUGUUUGUCGCCCGCUUUUGUUUCCCAAACGAUAUGCUCUUCCGCCAGACUGUCAAAAAAACACAUACGCAUACACGUACAUAUGUAUGUUCCUAGAGGUGUAUGUGGCAAAAUAAAUAGUCAUUGUCUGAUGAUGAUAAGAGUGGAAUAAUAAAGAACAAUAUUUCAAACAAUAAUACUCAACGCAAAUUAAAUGAAAGAAAACUUUUUCGCAGCACAAAUGAAAAUAAAUAUUGUACGCAUCAAAUUGAGCAAUAACAAAAAAAAAAACAAAUAAAUGAUCAAUUGCGACGAAUACAUUCAUUGAUUGUUAGCUAUAACAUUUGUAAGCUCAAUUAUAUAUUCAUGUACAUUUUUUCACUGAUUGAAAAGGGGGAACUUAACACGAUGAUAAAGCAAAAAGAAAAGCAGUUGAAAUGAAAUAUGCGUCUAACGAAAUUCAAACAGUCGCAGUUCAAAUCUAUCGUCCAGGCUAAAUUUUAACAUUAUGAUAACAUUAAGUUCCUUUUAUCUAAAUAGAUCAAAUUAAUAUGCUGGUAGCUCUGAUUCCAGUUCGUUGAUUCAUUUCGAACUAGAUCCUUUAUUCCUUUCUCUCUUUUCUCUUUUCUCUCUCUCUCUCUUUGCCACCCCUUUUUAUCGCAUGCCCACAAAACCACCGUAGACCACCCCGUUUGUGAAAUGACAAACUAUCUUGAGUAUUGCUCUCUAACAUUUGCUCUCGCAAUAAAUAUACGUUCACCCACCCCCCUUGCUGAUCCCAAAUCGAAGUUGACAAAGGGGCUGCAGCUGCUGUUUGGCCAUAAAUAUAAAAAUGAAGGCCGUCGAAAGCACGUUAAAGGUACAAGAUACUAGAUACACACCCCGAAUUGGCACACUGACAUUGAGGUAAUUGCAGUAAGGGUUGCGGGUUGCGGGUUGCGUGUUGCAUUGGUGGGCAGCAGCAACAAUUGCAUAAAGUAAUCAUAAUAAAUGUAUUUUCAUUGGACUCAUAUAUCUGCUUAUAUAUUAAUGUGUAUAAAUGCUCGUUGUCUUAAA